UCCAGAGAGAGAGAGAGGAGAAGUUCUUGAGAGAAAAACCAAAUCCGACCAAAAUUCGAGUCCCAAAAUCCGAAGCUCAUGAAGAGAAAAUUGUUGUACGUCGCGUUGGCUUCAAUUUGAGCUAGAAAUCAGCCAAUAAGGAGAAGAUUUUAUGUGGUGCUACAAAUUUAAGGUUGAGACAAUAUUGGACAACAUAUACGUAUAAACGCUAAAGGUACAGAUACUCAUUUUGGAGAGCCGCCACCUUAGGAUUCUACUCAACGGGUUGAAGUGCUCCAUUGUCUCGGAGCCUAAACUUUUGGUACUAAUCCUUAUAAUGUAUAUAUUUGUGUAUUUAGGGGUACGGCGGGGCCCUGUCCCGUCAUAUGCUAUUGUUAAUCCUCUUAGAGGUCUGUAGACACAUGAGUGGGUUGUAUGUAGAUGUUGUCUGGUGUACUAGUAUGGCUUAUGUUUUUGGACAUUUACAU